GACGAACGCUGGCGGCGUGCUUAACACAUGCAAGUCGAACGGAAAGGCCCCUUUGGGGGUACUCGAGUGGCGAACGGGUGAGUAACACGUGAGUAACCUGCCCUUGACUUCGGGAUAACUUCAGGAAACUGGGGCUAAUACCGGAUAGGAAUCCUUGCUGCAUGGUGGGGGUUGGAAAGCUUCGGCGGUUUUGGAUGGACUCGCGGCUUAUCAGCUUGUUGGUGGGGUAGUGGCUUACCAAGGCUUUGACGGGUAGCCGGCCUGAGAGGGCGACCGGCCACAGUGGGACUGAGAUACGGCCCAGACUCCUACGGGAGGCAGCAGUGGGGAAUAUUGCACAAUGGGCGGAAGCCUGAUGCAGCAACGCCGCGUGCGGGAGGACGGCCUUCGGGUUGAAAACCGCUUUCAGCAGGGGCGAAGCUUGUGGUGACGGUACCUGCAGAAGAAGCACCGGCUAACUACGUG
rnacentral:rRNA from 1 species